rnacentral:rRNA from 1 species
ACAACAGUUGGAAACGACUGCUAAUACCGCAUAAGCGCACAGCUUCGCAUGAAGCAGUGUGAAAAACUCCGGUGGUACAAGAUGGACCCGCGUCUGAUUAGCUGGUUGGUGAGGUAACGGCCCACCAAGGCGACGAUCAGUAGCCGGCCUGAGAGGGUGAACGGCCACAUUGGGACUGAGACACGGCCCAAACUCCUACGGGAGGCAGCAGUGGGGAAUAUUGCACAAUGGGGGAAACCCUGAUGCAGCAACGCCGCGUGAGUGAAGAAGUAUUUCGGUAUGUAAAGCUCUAUCAGCAGGAAAGAAAAUGACGGUACCUGACUAAGAAGCCCCGGCUAACUACGUGCCAGCAGCCGCGGUAAUACGUAGGGGGCAAGCGUUAUCCGGAUUUACUGGGUGUAAAGGGAGCGUAGACGGUUUUGCAAGUCUGAAGUGAAAGCCCGGGGCUUAACCCCGGGACUGCUUUGGAAACUGUAGGACUAGAGUGCAGGAGAGGUAAGUGGAAUUCCUAGUGUAGCGGUGAAAUGCGUAGAUAUUAGGAGGAACACCAGUGGCGAAGGCGGCUUACUGGACUGUAACUGACGUUGAGGCUCGAAAGCGUGGGGAGCAAACAGGAUUAGAUACCCUGGUAGUCCACGCCGUAAAC